rnacentral:rRNA from 1 species
UGACGGAGCACGCCGCGUGAGUGAUGAAGGUUUUCGGAUCGUAAAGCUCUGUUGUUAGGGAAGAACAAGUGCCGUUCAAAUAGGGCGGCACCUUGACGGUACCUAACCAGAAAGCCACGGCUAACUACGUGCCAGCAGCCGCGGUAAUACGUAGGUGGCAAGCGUUGUCCGGAAUUAUUGGGCGUAAAGGGCUCGCAGGCGGUUUCUUAAGUCUGAUGUGAAAGCCCCCGGCUCAACCGGGGAGGGUCAUUGGAAACUGGGGAACUUGAGUGCAGAAGAGGAGAGUGGAAUUCCACGUGUAGCGGUGAAAUGCGUAGAGAUGUGGAGGAACACCAGUGGCGAAGGCGACUCUCUGGUCUGUAACUGACGCUGAGGAGCGAAAGCGUGGGGAGCGAACAGGAUUAGAUACCCUGGUAGUCCACGCCGUAAACGAUGAGUGCUAAGUGUUAGGGGGUUUCCGCCCCUUAGUGCUGCAGCUAACGCAUUAAGCACUCCGCCUGGGGAGUACGGUCGCAAGACUGAAACUCAAAGGAAUUGACGGGGGCCCGCACAAGCGGUGGAGCAUGUGGUUUAAUUCGAAGCAACGCGAAGAACCUUACCAGGUCUUGACAUCCUCUGACAAUCCUAGAGAUAGGACGUCCCCUUCGGGGGCAGAGUGACAGGUGGUGCAUGGUUGUCGUCAGCUCGUGUCGUGAGAUGUUGGGUUAAGUCCCGCAACGAGCGCAACCCUUGAUCUUAGUUGCCAGCAUUCAGUUGGGCACUCUAAGGUGACUGCCGGUGACAAACCGGAGGAAGGUGGGGAUGACGUCAAAUCAUC